AACGAACGCUGGCGGCAGGCCUAACACAUGCAAGUCGAGCGGACCCUUCGGGGUUAGCGGCGGACGGGUGUGUAACGCGUGGGAAUAUGCCCUUCUCUACGGAAUAGUCCUGGGAAACUGGGGGUAAUACCGUAUACGCCCUUUGGGGGAAAGAUUUAUCGGGGAAGUAUUAGCCCGCGUUGGAUUAGGUAGUUGGUUGGGUAAUGGCCUACCAAGCCGACGAUCCAUAGCUGGGUUGAGAGGAUGAUCAGCCACACUGGGACUGAGACACGGCCCAGACUCCUACGGGAGGCAGCAGAGGUGGAUCGUAGACAAUGGGGGGAACCCUGAUCUAGCCAGGCCGCGUGAGUGAUGAAGUCCUUGAGGUUGUAAAGCGCUAUCAGCUGUGAAGAUAAUGACGGUACCAGCAGAAGAAGCCCCGGCUAACUCCGUG
rnacentral:rRNA from 1 species